GUUCGAGUCCCAAAUAGGACGAAACGCGCGUCCUGAAU
rnacentral:hammerhead_ribozyme from 1 species